GACGAACGCUGGCGGCGUGCUUAACACAUGCAAGUCGAACGGAAAGGCCCUGCUUUUGUGGUGUGCUCGCGUGGCGAACGGGUGAGUAACACGUGAGUAACCUGCCCUUGACUUUGGGAUAACUUCAGGAAACUGGGGCUAAUACCGGAUAGGAGCUCCUGCUGCAUGGUGUGGGGUGGAAAGUUUCGGCGGUUGGGGAUGGACUCGCGGCUUAUCAGCUUGUUGGUGGGGUAGUGGCUUACCAAGGCUUUGACGGGUAGCCGGCCUGAGAGGGUGACCGGCCACAUUGGGACUGAGAUACGGCCCAGACUCCUACGGGAGGCAUCAGUGGGGAAUAUUGCACAAUGGGCGGAAGCCUGAUGCAGCAACGCCGCGUGCGGGAUGACGGCCUUCGGGUUGUAAACCGCUUUCGCCUGUGACGAAGCGUGAGUGACGGUAAUGGGUAAAGAAGCACCGGCUAACUACGUG
rnacentral:rRNA from 1 species